GAUGAACGCUGGCGGCGUGCUUAAUACAUGCAAGUCGAGCGAGGACCACUUGGUGGCAACACCGGGUGGCUCCUAGCGGCGAACGGGUGAGUAACACGUGGGCAACCUGCCCCCGACUCUGGGAUAAGCCCGGGAAACUGGGUCUAAUACCGGAUACGAGCCUCCUCCGCAUGGAGGAGGUUGGAAAGGGUCUCCGGUCGGGGAUGGGCCCGCGGCCUAUCAGCUUGAUGGUGGGGUUACGGCCCACCAAGGCGACGACGGGUAGCCGGCCUGGGAGGGGGAACGGCCACACUGGGACUGGGACACGGCCCAGACUCCUACGGGAGGAAGCAGGAGUGAAUCUUGCGCAAUGGGCGAAAGCCUGACGCAGCGACGCGGCGUGCAGGACGAAGGCCCUCGGGUUGUAAACCGCUUUCAGCAGGGACGAAGCGAAAGUGACGGUACCCGCAGAAGAAGGUCCGGCCAACUACGUGCCAGCCGCCGCGGUAACAC
rnacentral:rRNA from 1 species